GCACAGGAUUCCUAAAGAAUUGGGCACCUUCAGGAGAAAUCCUAAAAGUGAAUCUGCUCAAAUUCGGGGAAAGCUUCACAGGAAUUUGUAUGUCAAUCCCGAGCCAAGUCUCUUUUUAAAUAAAGAGAAAGGUGUAGAGACUGAACGGGCAGCACCUAAGAAGCGUAAGCUUUAAGGUGAAGAGACAGUCCAGACCACAAACGGUUUUUCUGA
rnacentral:ncRNA from 1 species